CCAACACCUACGACAUCCUCCUCGCUAUCUAUCCGCGCUCGCCAUCCUUCACCUGCCCUUUAGCAUUUUUUGCUAGCGCCGCACGCUAGCCAUCACGCUCUCGGCCUCACCCGUCCUCCUCUGCCGGGCCUCCCGCGUCGGCGCCUCUCCUCCCUCCGCCGGCGCUUCCUCCCCGUGGCCUCAUGCCAUCGGAGAACGGCGCGUUGGAGGCCAACGCAAGGCGGCUCGGGGCGGCGAGCGGAGGCUGCGGCGGGCCCGUUGGAGGCUGGCGUGAGGGCGGCCGGGGCGGCGAGCGGCGGAAUGCAGAGGUAGGGCGGCAGGAUGCAGAGGUGGGAAGGAAGAAGACAAGAAGUAUGACAUAUGAAGCCUUGUGAUCGGCGCGAGGUCAUAGAGAUGCUCCAAGGGGUGCGGGCGCUCUGCAAAUGCCCCGAGGCCGUUCUUCUGUGACGAGGAGAUGCUUCCUGAAGUGGCUUCGUCCGAACUGAACGUGAUAUGGAAGGAUGAGUGAAAUACUUUGUUUCUGUGUGUCUUAAAUGUAUGAAGACAAAUGUGUGUCCAUCUCUGUAGCCUGUCAUACUAAGCUCAGGUUGUCAGUGUGUGAUACAGUGAUUGUGUAGUUUCCUAAAAAAGAUCUCUGAGGUCACAUUGUUUUCUCUUCCCUCGAGUAUUUGGCAGCUAUGCUUAAUGCACAAAUAUUGAUGCUUAGCACUAUCAUUUAAUGUUUUAGCAUUCCACUGUAUUAUCCUCCUGAGUCCUGAGACGAGAGUUGCCGCCGGUCUUCACCAUGUAAUACACUAGAAACAUAUUGCAUCA